rnacentral:misc_RNA from 1 species
AAAGAUCGCAGCCUGCGGCAGCUCCUACAGGAGCACGCGGUCAAUCCAGGAGCUGCCGCAGGCUGCGAUCUUU